ACCUUCUGUGAAAUUGCACACGACGUUUUUGCAGCUGUUGAAUCCAUCUGUCAUGAGCCUUGCUCUUCUUCUCAAAGAUUCAAGAAUCCCC
rnacentral:sRNA from 1 species